rnacentral:piRNA from 1 species
UUAUCUUAAAAAGCACCGAGGUUUGAAGUC